rnacentral:tRNA from 1 species
GCCCAUGUAGCUUACGCUAAAAAGCAUGGCACUGAAGAUGCUAAGACAAACAAUUAAUGGUUUCAUGAGCA